rnacentral:rRNA from 1 species
GAUGAACGCUGGCGGCGUGCCUAAUACAUGCAAGUCGAGCGAACAGACGAGGAGCUUGCUCCUCUGACGUUAGCGGCGGACGGGUGAGUAACACGUGGAUAACCUACCUAUAAGACUGGGAUAACUUCGGGAAAUCGGAGCUAAUACCGGAUAAUAUAUUGAACCGCAUGGUUCAAUAGUGAAAGACGGUUUUGCUGUCACUUAUAGAUGGAUCCGCGCCGCAUUAGCUAGUUGGUAAGGUAACGGCUUACCAAGGCAACGAUGCGUAGCCGACCUGAGAGAGUGGUCGGCCACACUAGAACUGAGACACGGUCCAGACUCCUAAGGGAGGCAGCAGUAGGGAAUCUGCCGCAAUGGGCGAAAGCCUGACGGAGCAACGCCGCGUGAGUGAUGAAGGUCUUCGGAUCGUAAAACUCUGUUAUUAGGGAAGAACAAAUGUGUAAGUAACUAUGCACGUCUUGACGGUACCUAAUCAGAAAGCCACGGCUAACUACGUG